rnacentral:lncRNA from 1 species
CUAGUCAUUUCAUUUCUGCCUCUUUUCCUGGAGGGCCGGGGGAUCUCCCAGUGCUGUCUGUUCUUUUCCUCUGAGUUUUGCAGGCAGGGGAAUCUCAUGCAAGCUUCAGCUCCACAUCCUCUGAAGAGAAAACAUUAAAGUCAGCACUUGACUGCACUGAAUUUUACAGGAUUUUCUCCCAAGUAUGAUAUUGAUAUCUUUUAAGUGAAUGGAGUAAUUGAGGAAUCUUUCUCUAAAUUAUUGACUGGGUGUCUGGAGAAGAAAUGAAUGAGAAAUAUCUUUAUCCCCAAUAAAGAUUUAGGUGCACUGAAUUAAUCUUGUUUCUGAUGUGACCCUUUUGAGUAUUAUUUAGGACGAGCUUUUCCAUGCUAAGCCUGUGGGGAGAUUGUGUGCGUGUGAGGGAGGAAGGAUAGCCUAAAUUUUGGUGCAAGGCACCUGAGAGAUUUUCCAUGUUUCUAAAUCUUUCCUCUCUUAAAACAGGAGACAGAAGCAGGAGGAGGGAGAUGAAGAAAAGACAUCAUAACUUGACAUCGCCAUGCUUUUCUGUUUGUGGUCUGCUAGGAUUUGGCAAUAACAUUUAUGCUGUUUCGGAGAAAAGAUAGGGGGUGAACAGCUGGAGGAGAAGUCCACACAAAGGCUUUAACGUCAGCAGGAGCAGAGCCCCAGGAGGGUCCUGGACAGGCCAGCAGUGUCAGUGUGUCGGCUCGGGGACAUCUCUGGUCUGAACACACCCGUCGGGGAUGUGUGUGCUGCUUGGAGGGGCUGGGAAAGCCACAAAGCAUCUCAGCUCACUUCCAGACUUAUUUUUUAGACAGCCUGGAUUUGUUUUGGAGGGAAAAAAAGACCUGUGCCAGGUGGUGCUGCCCUGGGCAAUGUGGGGCACCCACAGCCAGGACCGAAGCUGCUGCCCCUGCUCCAAAGACGGUGCUGCAAGAAUCACUAUUGACAGAGACUUCUGCAAACCACCCAAAAGCCCAAUUGAGAUGUCUGUUAUAAACACAGUUCAAACAACAUCGCACAAGAAAUGUUAUAAAUAUUUUAAAAUGGCUUCUUAA